CCUACGGGUGGCAGCAGUGGGGAAUAUUGCGCAAUGGGCGAAAGCCUGAAGCAGCGACGCCGCGUGAGGGAUGAAGGUCUUCGGAUCGUAAAACUCUGUCUGCAGGGAAGAACGGUCACUGUGCUAAUCAGCAGUGAAUUGACCGUACCAGCAAAGGCAGCACCGGCUAACUCCGUGCCAGCAGCCGCGGUAAUACGGAGGGUGCGAGCGUUAAUCGGAAUUACUGGGCGUACAGCGCUCGUGGGCGGGAUGUCAAGGCAAGGGUGAAAUCCCCGCGCUCAACGUGGGAACUGCCUUUGAAACUGGCAAACUGGAGUGUGUGAGAGGAUAGUGGAAUUCCAGGUGUAGGAGUGAAAUCCGUAGAUAUCUGGAGGAACAUCAGUGGCGAAGGCGACUAUCUGGCACAUAACUGACGCUGAGGAGCGAAAGCGUGGGUAGCAAACAGGAUUAGAUACCCCUGUAGUC
rnacentral:rRNA from 1 species